UACGUAGGGUGCGAGCGUUGCCCGGAUUUAUUGGGCGUAAAGGGCACGUAGGCGGCCACGCACGUCCGUUGUGAAAUCGCCCGGCUCAACUGGGCGGGGUCAGCGGAUACGGCGCGGCUGGAGCAAGCUAGGGGGCAAUGGAAUUCCCGGUGUAGUGGUGGAAUGCGUAGAUAUCGGGAGGAACACCAGUGGCGAAGGCGACUUCCUGGCCUGUUCUUGACGCUGAGGCGCGAAAGCUAGGGUAGCAAACGGG
rnacentral:rRNA from 1 species